rnacentral:rRNA from 1 species
ACAUAAAUAUACAAGACGAGAAGACCCUAUGGAGCUUUAGACACUAGCCAACUGUGAAUAAGCGACUGAACUGAACAAGUCCUAAAUACCCGCAGCCUUAUGGUGAUGUAGUCUUAGGUUGGGGCGACCACGGGAGAAAGUAAAGCUCCCAAGCAGACCGGGAAAACCCUUAAGCCGAGAGUUGCAACUCUAAGCCGCAAAAUUUUUGACUGAAAUGAUCCGGUUGAGAAACCGAUUAACGAACCAAGUUAC